rnacentral:tRNA from 1 species
GGUAGAAUGACUGAGAUAAAGGUGAUAAAUUGUAAAUUUAUUUAGGAGUUUGAAUAUUCUUCUGCCG